CCUACGGGUGGCUGCAGUGGGGAAUAUUGGACAAUGGGCGAAAGCCUGAUCCAGCCAUGCCGCGUGUGUGAAGAAGGCCUUCGGGUUGUAAAGCACUUUCAGUGGGGAAGAAAGCCUUGGGGCUAAUACCCUCGAGGAAGGACAUCACCCACAGAAGAAGCACCGGCUAACUCCGUGCCAGCAGCCGCGGUAAUACGGAGGGUGCGAGCGUUAAUCGGAAUUACUGGGCGUAAAGCGCGCGUAGGCGGUCUGAUAAGCCGGGUGUGAAAGCCCCGGGCUCAACCUGGGAACGGCAUCCGGAACUGUCAGGCUAGAGUGCAGGAGAGGAAGGUAGAAUUCCCGGUGUAGCGGUGAAAUGCGUAGAGAUCGGGAGGAAUACCAGUGGCGAAGGCGGCCUUCUGGACUGACACUGACGCUGAGGUGCGAAAGCGUGGGUAGCAAUCAGGAUUAGAUACCCGGGUAGUC
rnacentral:rRNA from 1 species